rnacentral:rRNA from 1 species
AGUGAACGCUGGCGGCAGGCCUAACACAUGCAAGUCGAGCGAGAAAAGGGGAGCAAUCCCCUGAGUACAGCGGCGCACGGGUGAGUAACACGUAGGUGACCUCCCCUCGAGCCCGGAAUAACCUACCGAAAGGUGGGCUAAUACCGGAUAUGACCACGGAAGUUUCGGCUUCUGCGGUGAAAGAUGGCCUCUACCUGUAAGCUAUCACUCAAGGAUGGGCCUGCGUGCCAUUAGCUAGUUGGUGAGGUAACGGCUCACAAAGGCUAUGAUGGCUAGCUGGUCUGAGAGGAUGGCCAGCCACAC